AGCGAACGCUGGCGGCAGGCCUAACACAUGCAAGUCGAGCGCCGUAGCAAUACGGAGCGGCAGACGGGAGAGUAACACGUGGGAACGUGCCCUUCAGUUCGGAACAACCCAGGGAAACUUGGGCUAAUACCGGAUACGUCCGUAAGGAGAAAGAUUUAUCGCUGAAGGAUCGGCCCGCGUCUGAUUAGCUAGUUGGUGGGGUAACGGCCCACCAAGGCGACGAUCAGUAGCUGGUCUGAGAGGAUGAUCAGCCUCACUGGGACUGAGACACGGCUCAGACUCCUACGGGAGGCAGCAGUGGGGAAUAUUGGACAAUGGGCGCAAGCCUGAUCCAGCCAUGCCGCGUGGGUGAUGAAGGCCCUAGGGUUGUAAAGCCCUUUCGGCGGGGAAGAUAAUGACGGUACCCGCAGAAGAAGCCCCGGCUAACUUCGUGCCAGCCGCCGCUGUAACAC
rnacentral:rRNA from 1 species